GCUUCUGGGGAAAAUGAGGCAGAGAAAGUGUGUCUUAAACCUUCCAGGAGGAGAAACAAGAGAGAUACAAACUGACUUCAGAAGGUGUACUGUGUGAGAACUUCCUUAAGUUCUAGUUCUUCCCAGAGACCCUCCCGACUGAUGACGUUUGCUCAGAGUUCCAGUUUGUCUUUACCACUAGCUUCUCCUGAAUUCAGACAGUCUGUUUACUCUCUCCAGAGUAUACCAGUGAACUGCUGAUGUGCUCAGCAUCAGUGACCUCAGCAUCACCUGGAAGCUUGUUAGAAAUGCCUACUCUCAGCCUCUGCCCCAGAUCAACUGAAUUAGACCCUCCUCUGGCAAGAUCCUUGUGUGAUAUGAAUACAUAUCAAAGGGUCUCCCUCUGAUUUUGAUGCCGUUCUUGACCACAAAAAGGAUACUGCAGCUGGUCCAUGGCCUGCUGGUUGAUGGUCCCCAUGCUGUUGUACACAAAGGUGCUGCUCAGCAGUAUUGCGAGAGCAAAGAUCCAGGA